UACGUAGGUGGCAAGCGUUGUCCGGAUUUACUGGGCGUAAAGAGCGCGCAGGCGGUCGAUUUAGUCGCGUGUGAAAGCCCCCGGCUCAACUGGGGAGGGUCACGCGAUACUGAUCGACUCGAAGGCAGGAGAGGGUAGUGGAAUUCCCGGUGUAGUGGUGAAAUGCGUAGAUAUCGGGAGGAACACCAGUGGCGAAGGCGACUACCUGGCCUGUUCUUGACGCUGAGGCGCGAAAGCUGAGGGGAGCAACGGG
rnacentral:rRNA from 1 species